CCUACGGGGGGCAGCAGUGGGGGAUAUUGCACAAUGGGGGGAACCCUGAUGCAGCGACGCCGCGUGGGUGAAGAAGCGCCUCGGCGCGUAAAGCCCUGUCAGCAGGGAAGAAAAUGACGGUACCUGAAGAAGAAGCCCCGGCUAACUACGUGCCAGCAGCCGCGGGAAUACGUAGGGGGCAAGCGUUAUCCGGAUUUACUGGGUGUAAAGGGGGCGCAGACGGCGAGGCAAGCCAGGGGUGAAAGCCCGGGGCCCAACCCCGGGACUGCGUUUGGAACUGCGUGGCUGGAGUGCAGGAGGGGCAGGCGGAAUUCCUGGUGUAGCGGUGAAAUGCGUAGAUAUCAGGAGGAACACCGGUGGCGAAGGCGGCCUGCUGGACUGCAACUGACGUUGAGGCCCGAAAGCGUGGGGAGCAAACAGGAUUAGAUACCCUUGUAGUC
rnacentral:rRNA from 1 species